rnacentral:rRNA from 1 species
UAGGGAAUCUUCCACAAUGGACGCAAGUCUGAUGGAGCAACGCCGCGUGAGUGAAGAAGGUCUUCGGAUCGUAAAACUCUGUUGUUAGAGAAGAACACGAGUGAGAGUAACUGUUCAUUCGAUGACGGUAUCUAACCAGCAAGUCACGGCUAACUACGUGCCAGCAGCCGCGGUAAUACGUAGGUGGCAAGCGUUGUCCGGAUUUAUUGGGCGUAAAGGGAACGCAGGCGGUCUUUUAAGUCUGAUGUGAAAGCCUUCGGCUUAACCGGAGUAGUGCAUUGGAAACUGGAAGACUUGAGUGCAGAAGAGGAGAGUGGAACUCCAUGUGUAGCGGUGAAAUGCGUAGAUAUAUGGAAGAACACCAGUGGCGAAAGCGGCUCUCUGGUCUGUAACUGACGCUGAGGUUCGAAAGCGUGGGCAGCAAACAGGAUUAGAUACCCUGGUAGUCCACGCCGUAAACGAUGAAUGCUAGGUGUUGGAGGGUUUCCGCCCUUCAGUGCCGCAGCUAACGCAAUAAGCAUUCCGCCUGGGGAGUACGACCGCAAGGUUG